AGGAACUGUGUGUCCCAUUCAUUGUGUCUUGAGUACCUGAGGAUGACAAGCUUGUGAAUUAAAGGAUCCUGAGAGAAACAGGAAAUAAUGAUAGAAAGUGAGACGGAAGAGAGGUUAUUAACCAUUAGAAGGCCGCUUGAAAAUAAAAACUGAACAGUAUCCAAUGAGAAAGGCCGGAAUCAGGACUGAUGUACUGAUGCAUCUUGGCAUUUAUUCUCUCAGAGUCUUCAGUACUCCUAGGUCAAGUGGCUGAGAAGGUGGACUUAAACUCUUUAUGUGACCUCCAUUGUCAGAAGGACAGAACUUUCAAGCCGGCUGAUUCAUUCCUCCCACGCCCGGAACCUGGCCCUAGAAGGAUUUGCAGCGUUCAGAUGCAGGCACAGCAGGAGCCCACACUCAUCUUGAGGGCCCUUGAGGGAGACUAUGCCCAGAAGCCCCAUCCACAGAGUCCCACUAAGGGCUGUGGUUUCUCUCUGAUUUCACAUGGCUGACUGGAUCUCAGCAUUUCAGGAACCAACCUUUUACAGCGAGUGAUUUUCUUCACUAAACUCAAGACUGGCAAGCUCCUCUCUCUGUCUCUUUCUCUGCCUCUCUCGUCUGUCUCUGUCACUCUUGUGUGUGUGUGUGUGUGUGUGUGUGUCCGUGCACACAUACUCCUCUUCAUUUCUAGCAGUAUCUUAUUGCCUUAGUGAAGAGUGCAGUGAAGCAGAAAACAGAUUCAGGAAGUGACAGACGACACAAGCAUUUGUCCAAUUAGCAAUGAGAAAAUCAUAAGCACCGGUGGUGACCACUCAUGUUGAACAGCCAGCUCAGCAAAGAGCCUUGCUCCACAUCUCUCCCAUGUAAUUAGAACCAUUCAAGCCACGACUGACCAGCUUUUCCCUGCAUUUUUAGUAUAUUGCAGAGCCUGCACUCUCUUGGACGUUAAUGAGGAACAUGAAGCCAUCAAUAGUUUUGAUUAAGCCAAAGACUAUUGCACUAUUUAGAUGUACCAUAUUUCAUCCAUUCUAAGACAUGCCUUUUUCCUCCCACGUUUUAACAUCUUUCAAAUCAAAAUGUGCCUCAGAAUCAAGGCAAUCAUGGUAUAGUUGUCAUUGCCUCUGCAUGGCAAACUUGGUCACAGCUGUUUAUAUUGUCAUCUGAAUUUCAGCUGAGUUCAAUAUGUGGUUGCAAGGACGGGUGUUGAGGUUCAAUGCCAUUUAAAAGUCUCUCAAAAGAUUAUCCUACAUUUUGGCAUUCAAAUAAUGAGCUAUUGUGUGUGCAUAAAGAAACAGAGGAGUGGGGUGUAAAUUGACAUUUGUGAAGCAAAUAUUUGUUGUUAUAGGAACAACUGCAAUUCCAUACUUUCUCCCAAAGCAACAACCAACUGCUUUCAAGACCUAAAAAAAGAAGAAAUCCACGAGAAAUGAAGCAGUUAUAUUUGCCCCACACCAACAAUGCAACUGAAAGCAGUAGUAACAGCAGAAUCCCUUGGAAGAGACAAAAGAAAUUUCAGAGUAGCAAAGGGCUAGUGUUACAGAUGCAAGGGCCACAUACAACUACUUCUAGGACAUUAUGUCAGAGUUUCAAACCACUUUUUUAAUCUUAGAAGUUCAUAAAAUAAUGGUGAUUCUUAUACUGUGUGGUUUCUUAGGUCUGAUGAAAUCUAGUAUGUCCAGAAUAACUUUCAACCAAUAAAACCCACAGCUACCCAUUAAAGUGCUUGAGAAUUUGUAAAGGGUCAGUCUACAUCCAAGAAACGGUAGCCACUUUCAGACUUGGAUUUGAAACAGAGCUAGGCCUCAGUACCCAAAGGCAUCACCCACCCUAUCGCAGAUGUCAUCAGUUGCCAUCUCAUACCCUAUUUCCCCUGCUAACAGAACCCUGAGUUGAUUCAAGGAUUAGGGAGACUUGUACUUCAGAGGAGACCUGGUUCUCCUCUACCCCAGAGAAUUUUCAUUAACCAAUCACAACAUGAUGGUCUCUUCUCUUUCCCAUUGGUUAUUUUAGGGGUGGCAUGUAAUACAGUUUCGGCCAAUGAGAUAUGAAGGAAGGGAAGAGGGAGGGUGGGAUCUUAAAAACAAAGAUGCAUGAGAAGGAAAAAAUAAGGUGUCUUUUCCAUCGCUGGGCUUGGUGAUGCCUGGAACUACUGCAGCCAUCUUGCAACCAUGAGGAAGCAACUGAGAGACAAAGACACACACUGAAGAUGACAGAGACAGAAGAUGGAGACGGCAUAAAUCCUUGAUGACAUCACUGAACUACUUUCUUAAGCAAGACUAAAGACUGGUUUCUGUCUAGUUUCACUGCUUAUAUGGGAUAUUAAACAUCUUUAUUAUUCAAUCCACUGUCAGUAGUUGAACCUUCUAUCACUUGCACCCAAAGUCACAUAAUUGAUCCACCCCUACUUCCCUACUACUGCCAUGAUACCUCCCUCCCUUCUACACUUCUUGAAAUAUGAAUAACAGCUUAAAGCAACACAUAUUUAUUAUUGCACAGCUUCUGAGAGUCAAGAGGCCAAGAAAGGCCUACUGGGUCCACUGCAAAGCUGAAAUCAAGGUGUCAGUCAGAGGUGGGUUAUCAUCUAGAGGCUCGACUGGAGAAGUUUCCCCUUCCAAUUUCCCUCAGGCUGAUGGCAGAAUUUGUUUCCUUGUGGCUAUAAAAUUAAUGACAGCUUGCUUCUUCAAAGCCAGCAUUGGAGAUAGCAAGACAGUCUGUUAGGGACAUGGAAUCUUAUAUAAUUGUGGGAGUGACAUCACCUUUGCCACAUAGUGUAAUUCUAUUGUAUUCUAUUGGCUAGAACUAAGUCACAGGACUCACCUAUACUCAAGGGAAGAGAAUUACACAGGGACAUGAACACCAGAAGGCAGAGGUCACAAAGUCAUCUUAGAGUCUGUCCAACUUACACGGUUAGUUAGUGGCUCUCAUGGAACUGGAGACCAGUUCUAUCUUAUCCCAAUAUCCAUUCUCUUUUAGUUUAACUAUGAAGUGUCAAAAAUAUAAGAAUACGUUUCUAAAAAUGUAGAGUCUUCUGAAAAUAGAAUAUACUGAUGCGGAGGUCUUAAAUUCUCUGUUACUAGAGAUGGCUAUGCUUAAGCUGGACCAUCACUUGAGGCAGAUGUGGCUGAGGGGUUUACCUUUAGCAAGAGUAUCAUGGGGCAAGAUAGGGAAAGGAAGUUGUUGAGUUAGGUGACUUUCAAGGCGCUUCAACCUCGCGCUUCUGAUUCUUUUAGGCACAUCAUGGAAUCACAGAAUGUUAGGGUUGGAAGGACUCUUUGAGAUGAAGACCCUGCACUUUACAGAUGAGGAAACUGAGGUAUAGAGAAGUCAAUGCUUGCUUCAGUCUCACUGAAAGUUGCUGGUGAUAGAAACUGAAUAGACUUAAUACCUGUCUUCAAGAAGCUUAUAAUAUAACAGGGAGAAUGCAGUAAAAAUAAAACAUAAUACACAAUACACAAGUCCUAUGAUGAAAUUAUAUUUAAGAUACCCCAUAAAGCCAGAUAAAGAAAGAAACGUCAGGAACAAGACAAGUUGUGGGGGCAGAUGAGCGGGUUCGAUUCAUACUAGUGGACACUGAGUACUUAAGGGACAUCCAGGUGAUGAUGUCUGGUACAGGGCUUCUCAAACCUUAAUGUUCACACAAACUUACCUAGAGACUGUUCAAAUGCAGCUUCUGACUCAGCAGGCCUGUGGUGGAGCCUGGGGUUCUGUAUUUCAAACAAGCUCCCAGGUGAUACAGAUGCUACUUAUCCUCAAAGCAUAAUCUGAGUGGCAAGACUGAAAAGGCAGUUGUAUAAUCAGAUCUCAGUUGUGUGAUCUUCAUUCCUCUCCCCCUCAUUCCAUUGUCCACUCUCUGAAUAGGGACAAGACUGGAGGAGAGACACUGAAGGAAGUUCCAUACAGGAGCACCUUCACCAGAAGGCCUUGUAACUAGCCACGUUACCUGGGAAGGGAAGAUGCCUUCUAGUUACUGCAAAGAACCCAUCCACCAUUUCUUACCUUCAACUCACAUUUGCUAACCCUCCUUUGUGAAGGAGUACAAAAAUGAAUGACUUAGCCCAACACUGCAACUAUUUAAUAAUGCAGAUCAUUGGGGCACCUGGGUGGCUCAGUUGGUUAAGCGGCCGACUUCGGCUCAGG